rnacentral:rRNA from 1 species
UUGGAGGGCAAGUCUGGUGCCAGCAGCCGCGGUAAUUCCAGCUCCAAUAGCGUAUAUUAAAGUUGUUGCAGUUAAAAAGCUCGUAGUUGAAUUUCGGGGUUUAUACGUUGGUCGGGCUUUUGGGUCUGUACUGGCGUAAUGAAUUCCUACCUUCUGAAUAACCAGCAUGUCAUUAAUUUGAUGCGCCGGGGAAGCAGGACUGUUACCUUGAAAAAAUUAGAGUGUUUAAAGCAGGCUAACGCCUGAAUACAUUAGCAUGGAAUAAUGAAAUAGGACGUUCGACCCUAUUUUGUUGGUUUCUAGGAUUGACGUAAUGAUUAAUAGGGAUAGUUGGGGGCAUUAGUAUUCAAUUGUCAGAGGUGAAAUUCUUGGAUUUAUUGAAGACUAACUACUGCGAAAGCAUUUGCCAAGGAUGUUUUCAUUAAUCAAGAACGAAAGUUAGGGGAUCGAAGACGAUCAGAUACCGUCGUAGUCUUAACCAUAAACUAUGCCGACUAGGGAUCGGAUGAUGUUAAUUUUUUAAUGACUCAUUCGGCGCCUUCGGCGCCUUACGGGAAAC